rnacentral:misc_RNA from 1 species
GGUCGAUCUUCUAAAUUCUCUUUCUGCUGCUGGCAUUCAAGCCGUAAACCAUCUCCUCAUGAUUUAUCUGAUCUGGAGAAUGGAGGGGAAAAUGGGAAAAACGCCUUGCCGAGUUUUACUGAAUUCAGUCUUGAUGUGCUGAUGAGUGCAACUGAAGGAUUUUCUGCUGAUAACAUUGUGUCUGAACAUGGAGAAAAAGCCCCAAAUGUGGUUUUUAAAGGGUUGCUGGAGAAUGGUCAUUGGGUUGCUGUUAAACGCUUCAAUAGGUCUGCUUGGCCAGAUUCUCGCCAAUUCUUGGAUGAGGCUAAAGCGGUGGGGAAUCUGAGAAGUGAGAGACUGGCGAAUCUACUUGGAUGUUGCUGUGAAGGGGAACAAAGGUUGCUCGUGGCUGAGUUCAUGCCAAAUGAGACCCUUGCAAAGCAUUUAUUUCACUGGGACAGCCAACCUAUGAAGUGGGCAAUGAGGUUGAGGGUGGCUUUUUACUUAGCUCAAGCUAUGGAAUACUGCAGCAGUAAGGGUCGAGCAAUAUAUCAUGAUCUUAAUGCUUACAGA